rnacentral:snoRNA from 1 species
UUUCAUUAUGAUGAUUCUUUUAAAUUCUUGAUAGGAAGAGUAUGAAACAUAAUGAGUACUAUUGUUAAGCUGAAAAUUAAA